UUAAGCGACUAAGCGUACACGGUGGAUGCCCUGGCAGUCAGAGGCGAUGAAGGACGUGCUAAUCUGCGAUAAGCGUCGGUAAGGUGAUAUGAACCGUUAUAACCGGCGAUUUCCGAAUGGGGAAACCCAGUGUGUUUCGACACACUAUCAUUAACUGAAUCCAUAGGUUAAUGAGGCGAACCGGGGGAACUGAAACAUCUAAGUACCCCGAGGAAAAGAAAUCAACCGAGAUUCCCCCAGUAGCGGCGAGCGAACGGGGAGCAGCCCAGAGCCUGAAUCAGUGUGUGUGUUAGUGGAAGCGUCUGGAAAGGCGCGCGAUACAGGGUGACAGCCCCGUACACAAAAAUGCACAUGCUGUGAGCUCGAUGAGUAGGGCGGGACACGUGGUAUCCUGUCUGAAUAUGGGGGGACCAUCCUCCAAGGCUAAAUACUCCUGACUGACCGAUAGUGAACCAGUACCGUGAGGGAAAGGCGAAAAGAACCCCGGCGAGGGGAGUGAAAAAGAACCUGAAACCGUGUACGUACAAGCAGUGGGAGCCUCUUUAUGGGGUGACUGCGUACCUUUUGUAUAAUGGGUCAGCGACUUAUAUUCUGUAGCAAGGUUAACCGAAUAGGGGAGCCGAAGGGAAACCGAGUCUUAACUGGGCGUUAAGUUGCAGGGUAUAGACCCGAAACCCGGUGAUCUAGCCAUGGGCAGGUUGAAGGUUGGGUAACACUAACUGGAGGACCGAACCGACUAAUGUUGAAAAAUUAGCGGAUGACUUGUGGCUGGGGGUGAAAGGCCAAUCAAACCGGGAGAUAGCUGGUUCUCCCCGAAAGCUAUUUAGGUAGCGCCUCGUGAAUUCAUCUCCGGGGGUAGAGCACUGUUUCGGCAAGGGGGUCAUCCCGACUUACCAACCCGAUGCAAACUGCGAAUACCGGAGAAUGUUAUCACGGGAGACACACGGCGGGUGCUAACGUCCGUCGUGAAGAGGGAAACAACCCAGACCGCCAGCUAAGGUCCCAAAGUCAUGGUUAAGUGGGAAACGAUGUGGGAAGGCCCAGACAGCCAGGAUGUUGGCUUAGAAGCAGCCAUCAUUUAAAGAAAGCGUAAUAGCUCACUGGUCGAGUCGGCCUGCGCGGAAGAUGUAACGGGGCUAAACCAUGCACCGAAGCUGCGGCAGCGACGCUGAUGCGUUGUUGGGUAGGGGAGCGUUCUGUAAGCCUGUGAAGGUGUGCUGUGAGGCAUGCUGGAGGUAUCAGAAGUGCGAAUGCUGACAUAAGUAACGAUAAAGCGGGUGAAAAGCCCGCUCGCCGGAAGACCAAGGGUUCCUGUCCAACGUUAAUCGGGGCAGGGUGAGUCGACCCCUAAGGCGAGGCCGAAAGGCGUAGUCGAUGGGAAACAGGUUAAUAUUCCUGUACUUGGUGUUACUGCGAAGGGGGGACGGAGAAGGCUAUGUUGGCCGGGCGACGGUUGUCCCGGUUUAAGCGUGUAGGCUGGUUUUCCAGGCAAAUCCGGAAAAUCAAGGCUGAGGCGUGAUGACGAGGCACUACGGUGCUGAAGCAACAAAUGCCCUGCUUCCAGGAAAAGCCUCUAAGCAUCAGGUAACAUCAAAUCGUACCCCAAACCGACACAGGUGGUCAGGUAGAGAAUACCAAGGCGCUUGAGAGAACUCGGGUGAAGGAACUAGGCAAAAUGGUGCCGUAACUUCGGGAGAAGGCACGCUGAUAUGUAGGUGAAGCGACUUGCUCGUGGAGCUGAAAUCAGUCGAAGAUACCAGCUGGCUGCAACUGUUUAUUAAAAACACAGCACUGUGCAAACACGAAAGUGGACGUAUACGGUGUGACGCCUGCCCGGUGCCGGAAGGUUAAUUGAUGGGGUUAGCGCAAGCGAAGCUCUUGAUCGAAGCCCCGGUAAACGGCGGCCGUAACUAUAACGGUCCUAAGGUAGCGAAAUUCCUUGUCGGGUAAGUUCCGACCUGCACGAAUGGCGUAAUGAUGGCCAGGCUGUCUCCACCCGAGACUCAGUGAAAUUGAACUCGCUGUGAAGAUGCAGUGUACCCGCGGCAAGACGGAAAGACCCCGUGAACCUUUACUAUAGCUUGACACUGAACAUUGAGCCUUGAUGUGUAGGAUAGGUGGGAGGCUUAGAAGUGUGGACGCCAGUCUGCAUGGAGCCGACCUUGAAAUACCACCCUUUAAUGUUUGAUGUUCUAACGUUGACCCGUAAUCCGGGUUGCGGACAGUGUCUGGUGGGUAGUUUGACUGGGGCGGUCUCCUCCUAAAGAGUAACGGAGGAGCACGAAGGUUGGCUAAUCCUGGUCGGACAUCAGGAGGUUAGUGCAAUGGCAUAAGCCAGCUUGACUGCGAGCGUGACGGCGCGAGCAGGUGCGAAAGCAGGUCAUAGUGAUCCGGUGGUUCUGAAUGGAAGGGCCAUCGCUCAACGGAUAAAAGGUACUCCGGGGAUAACAGGCUGAUACCGCCCAAGAGUUCAUAUCGACGGCGGUGUUUGGCACCUCGAUGUCGGCUCAUCACAUCCUGGGGCUGAAGUAGGUCCCAAGGGUAUGGCUGUUCGCCAUUUAAAGUGGUACGCGAGCUGGGUUUAGAACGUCGUGAGACAGUUCGGUCCCUAUCUGCCGUGGGCGCUGGAGAACUGAGGGGGGCUGCUCCUAGUACGAGAGGACCGGAGUGGACGCAUCACUGGUGUUCGGGUUGUCAUGCCAAUGGCACUGCCCGGUAGCUAAAUGCGGAAGAGAUAAGUGCUGAAAGCAUCUAAGCACGAAACUUGCCCCGAGAUGAGUUCUCCCUGACCCUUUAAGGGUCCUGAAGGAACGUUGAAGACGACGACGUUGAUAGGCCGGGUGUGUAAGCGCAGCGAUGCGUUGAGCUAACCGGUACUAAUGAACCGUGAGGCUUAACCUU
rnacentral:rRNA from 1 species